rnacentral:rRNA from 1 species
GAUGAACGCUGGCGGCGUGCCUAAUACAUGCAAGUCGAGCGAACAGACGAGGAGCUUGCUCCUCUGACGUUAGCGGCGGACGGGUGAGUAACACGUGGAUAACCUACCUAUAAGACUGGGAUAACUUCGGGAAACCGGAGCUAAUACCGGAUAAUAUAUUGAACCGCAUGGUUCAAUAGUGAAAGACGGUUUUGCUGUCACUUAUAGAUGGAUCCGCGCCGCAUUAGCUAGUUGGUAAGGUAACGGCUUACCAAGGCAACGAUGCGUAGCCGACCUGAGAGGGUGAUCGGCCACACUGGAACUGAGACACGGUCCAGACUCCUACGGGAGGCAGCAGUAGGGAAUCUUCCGCAAUGGGCGAAAGCCUGACGGAGCAACGCCGCGUGAGUGAUGAAGGUCUUCGGAUUGUAAAACCCUGUUAUUAGGGAAGAACAAAUGUGUAAGUAACUAUGCACGUCUUGACGGUACCUAAUCAGAAAGCCACGGCUAACUACGUG